AUGGCCAUGAGUAUGGCAACCGGCGCCAUGGGCUCCCUGCUGCCCAAGCUGGUCAAGCUCCUCAAGGAGGAGUACAAGCUCAAGGAAAGCGUCAAGGAAGGCGUCCGAUCUCUUGAGGAAGAGAUGAAGAGCAUGCAAGCUGCGCUCCGCAAGGUGGGCGAGGUGCCACGGGACCAGCUCAACGAGCAGGUCAAGAUCUGGGCAGCGGAGGUGAGGGAGCUCUCCUUCAAGAUGGAGGACAUCGUCGACAAGUUCUUGGUGCGUGUCGAUGACGGCUCUGAGCCUGCUGCCAAUCUGAAGAAGCUCAAACGGCUCACCAAAAAGAUGGCCGGCCUGUUCACCAAGGGGAAGGCCCGCCAUGAGAUCGCCGAUGCAAUCAGGAGCAUCAAUAAGAAAGUUCAAGAGGUUGCUGGUAGGCGUGCAAGGUACAAUAUCGACAAUAUUGUCUCUAAGCCUGCUGCCGUGACUCCCAUCGAUCCUCGCAUUGGGGCUCUGUACAAGGAAGUGACAGAUCUUGUUGGCAUUACCGGAACAAGGGAUCAAGAGAUAAUGAAGUUGCUCUCAGAGGGGGACGACAUGUCCAAGAAAAAGUUGAAGAUCGUCUCUGUUGUUGGAUUUGGGGGAUUGGGCAAGACAACUCUUGUCAAAACAGUUUAUGAUAAGAUCAAGGGAGAUUUUGAUUGCAGGGCUUUUCUUCCUGUCGGUCGAAAUGCUAAUGCGAAGAAGGUUUUCAUGGACAUCCUACAUGAUCUUGAUCCCGACAAGGACAAAGGUCAGCUCAGCAUGUUGGAUGAAAGAGAACUCAUUAACAAACUCCAAAAAAAUCUAGAGAACAAGAGGUUACAAUUCAAGGAGUGCGACAAAAUCGGGGUGGUAGCGUGUACAAUAAACUACUCCCUCCGUUCCACAAUUUAG
rnacentral:rRNA from 1 species